UGGGGAAUUUUGGACAAUGGGCGAAAGCCUGAUCCAGCAAUGCCGCGUGAGUGAAGAAGGCCUUCGGGUUGUAAAGCUCUUUUGUCAGGGAAGAAACGGUGAGGGCUAAUAUCCCUUGCUAAUGACGGUACCUGAAGAAUAAGCACCGGCUAACUACGUGCCAGCAGCCGCGGUAAUACGUAGGGGGCAAGCGUUAAUCGGAAUUACUGGGCGUAAAGCGUGCGCAGGCGGUUUUGUAAGUCUGAUGUGAAAUCCCCGGGCUCAACCUGGGAAUUGCAUUGGAGACUGCAAGGCUAGAAUCUGGCAGAGGGGGGUAGAAUUCCACGUGUAGCAGUGAAAUGCGUAGAUAUGUGGAGGAACACCGAUGGCGAAGGCAGCCCCCUGGGUCAAGAUUGACGCUCAUGCACGAAAGCGUGGGGAGCAAACA
rnacentral:rRNA from 1 species